rnacentral:lncRNA from 1 species
CAAAGUUCAAAUCAAACCACGACCCGGACGAAUUCAUCAACGAGACAAGAUGAGGCUGUUCACCCACCAACUCCAGCCAUCACCGGAAAUGAAAGAGCGGGUGACAGCCGUGGAGAGAAUCGUAGGCUACGACUUCGUGGACAAGACGCUUCUAGAAGAAGCUCUCACCCACCCCUCAUCCUGUCGGCCCAAUUCGUAUCAACGCCUGGAGCUCCUGGGCGACAGCGCUCUCAACCACGCAGUGACAAAGUACUUAUUUCGUGACAGCCGGAAGUUCAACGAAGAAGAAAUCACUAACCGACUCAAAGAUACCGUUAGCAACCCCUACCUCGCCCGCAUUGGUGCUCGGCUUGGGCUUUAUGACUACCUUGUCCGCCACAAUACACCUGAUCUUGAUGAUCAGGUCUUUUCUUUUCCUUUUCCUUUUUCAUGUCUCUCUUGCGAUUUCUGUGUGGGACUUUGCUUUAUUUGGGAAAAGAGAAAACAAAACAUUUUAGGUGGAAUUUAGUUGGGUAUAUUUUAGUUGGAUACUUAUGUUUGCCAAGUAUUAUUAUUAUUAUUAUUUUUAAUUCGUGUAAAUUGAGGACAUAAUUCAUUGAAAGAGACAAUGUUUAGAAUUGAACUACAGUAGUUAUCUUCUGAAAAAACAAAAUUAGAAUUUCACUACAGUUUGCCAAUUUCUUUUGAGCCAAGGUUUAGCAAGUGAGGAAGUACCACCCAUCCCCAAUAAUUCUUAACAUGAACGGAUGACAACAACUCAUGCAUGUGUGGACAACUAUCUUUAACAUUUCUCUUGUUUGUUUUUUUAGUGAAAGGGAAACCAAAGCCCAAAAAAAAAAAAUGACACAUAAAAAAAUUGUUUGUACGUCAGUGUGCGAGUGCUUAUAUUUCGACUAACCUUGCUUUUUCGUUUAAAACUUGGUUAAAAGAUUUUUACUUGUUAGUAAAUUGCUUUCACAUUAGGUUUUAUGAGAAAUUUUUUAAAUUUAUUUCAUAAUUCCAGGUCGCAAAGUUUACUGAAGGAGUAAUUAAAGGAAAAGAUAUGACGGGGUCUCCAGGCUACAAGGUUCUUGCAGAUGUUGUCGAAUCCGUGGCUGCUGCUGUUUACAUUGACUUGAAUUAUGAUCUCGAUAAGCUGAUGAAGGUGCGUAUUUCUAUUAGCUGGUCUUCUUUAGCAUGGAAGUUGGAAGACUUCUGUUAAAUUUUUAAAUGCUUGGAAGAACUAUAUCUAUAUAUAUAACCUCCAAAUUUUUAUUAUUUGCUAUUCUUCAUUUGUAGAUAUUUAUGCCUCUUUUGGAUCUCGAAAAAUCUGAUUCUAUGAUGAAGACGAAGGAAUCGGAUUCCAUGUUGGGUUAUAUUGCCUCACUACUCUACACACUUGGGGCUAAGGCCUAUAGGGUGAUAAUAAGUCUCUUGGUUUUUUGUUUGAGGGGAAUAAUACUGCUAGUUAUCGUCUGUGUUUUGUUUAAAUUAAUUGACUGUUUUGCUAAGUAAUUCCUAUUAAGGGUGAUGAGAUGGAGGUAUUCUUCAAUUUACCUAUAUAUAUAUAUAUAUAUGUAUA